rnacentral:rRNA from 1 species
ACGGGAGGCAGCAGUGGGGAAUAUUGGACAAUGGGGGAAACCCUGAUGCAGCAACGCCACGUGUGGGAAGAAGCAUUUCGGUGUGUAAACCACUGUCGUGAAGGAAUAAUGCUUGGUCUCGGCCAAGUUGAAUGUACUUUGAAAGGAAGCACCGGCUAAAUACGUGCCAGCAGCCGCGGUAAUACGUAUGGUGCAAGCGUUAUCCGGAUUUACUGGGUGUAAAGGGAGCGCAGACGGCAUGGCAAGCCAGAUGUGAAAGGCAGGGGCUCAACUCCUGGACUGCAUUUGGAACUGUCAAGCUAGAGUAUCGGAGAGGUAAGUGGAAUUCCUAGUGUAGCGGUGAAAUGCGUAGAUAUUAGGAGGAACACCAGUGGCGAAGGCGGCUUACUGGACGAUAACUGACGUUGAGGCUCGAAAGCGUGGGGAGCAAACAGGAUUAGAUACCCUGGUA